rnacentral:rRNA from 1 species
GACGAACGCUGGCGGCGUGCUUAACACAUGCAAGUCGAACGGAAAGGCCCUGCUUUUGUGGGGUGCUCGAGUGGCGAACGGGUGAGUAGCACGUGAGUAACCUGCCCUUGACUUUGGGAUAACUUCAGAAAACUGGGGCUAAUACCGGAUAGGAGCUCCUGCUGCAUGGUGGGGGUUGGAAAGUUUCGGCGGUUGGGGAUGGACUCGCGGCUUAUCAGCUUGUUGGUGGGGUAGUGGCUUACCAAGGCUUUGACGGGUAGCCGGCCUGAGAGGGUGACCGGCCACAUUGGGACUGAGAUACGGCCCAGACUCCUACGGGAGGCAGCAGUGGGGAAUAUUGCACAAUGGGCGGAAGCCUGAUGCAGCAACGCCGCGUGCGGGAUGACGGCCUUCGGGUUGUAAACCGCUUUCGCCUGUGACGAAGCGUGAGUGACGGUAAUGGGUAAAGAAGCACCGGCUAACUACGUGCCAGCAGCCGCGGUGAUACGUAGGGUACGAGCGUUGUCCGGAUUUAUUGGGCGUAAAGGGCUCGUAGGUGGUUGAUCGCGUCGGAAGUGUAAUCUUGGGGCUUAACCCUGAGCGUGCUUUCGAUACGGGUUGACUUGAGGAAGGUAGGGGAGAAUGGAAUUCCUGGUGGAGCGGUGGAAUGCGCAGAUAUCAGGAGGAACACCAGUGGCGAAGGCGGUUCUCUGGGCCUUUCCUGACGCUGAGGAGCGAAAGCGUGGGGAGCGAACAGGCUUAGAUACCCUGGUAGUCCACGCUGUAAACGGUGGGUACUAGGUGUGGGGUCCAUUCCACGGGUUCCGUGCCGUAGCUAACGCUUUAAGUACCCCGCCUGGGGAGUACGGCCGCAAGGCUAAAACUCAAAGGAAUUGACGGGGCCCCGCACAAGCGGCGGAGCAUGCGGAUUAAUUCGAUGCAACGCGUAGAACCUUACCUGGGUUUGACAUGGAUCGGGAGUGCUCAGAGAUGGGUGUGCCUCUUUUGGGGUCGGUUCACAGGUGGUGCAUGGCUGUCGUCAGCUCGUGUCGUGAGAUGUUGGGUUAAGUCCCGCAACGAGCGCAACCCUUGUUCACUGUUGCCAGCACGUUAUGGUGGGGACUCAGUGGAGACCGCCGGGGUCAACUCGGAGGAAGGUGGGGAUGUCGUCAAGUCAUCAUGCCCCUUAUGUCCAGGGCUUCACGCAUGCUACAAUGGCUGGUACAGAGAGUGGCGAGCCUGUGAGGGUGAGCGAAUCUCGGAAAGCCGGUCUCAGUUCGGAUUGGGGUCUGCAACUCGACCUCAUGAAGUCGGAGUCGCUAGUAAUCGCAGAUCAGCAACGCUGCGGUGAAUACGUUCCCGGG